ensembl:misc_RNA Y_RNA Y RNA
GGCUGGCCCAAAGGUAAUGAAUUAUCUCAAUUGACUCUUCACAGAUUAAACUCCUUGUUCUACUCUUUCCCCCUUCUCACCACUGAACUUGACUAGUCUUAA